rnacentral:lncRNA from 1 species
GCAUUCAUUAAUGAAUACUGGAUUUUAAAAUGAGUCAUGUCAAUCUAGUUGUUUUUUCAAGAUUACAUCACAUAGGACUUGAAAUAAAGUAAUCAAUAGACGUUUUUGGUAAAUACCUCAUUUCCUAGAAAUGCCUGUUGACAUGUACAAAGGUCUAAAAUGGCAGGAGAUCAGGUAAACACAUACAAUGCCAGAUUCAAAUAAAUUAUGACUAUCCUAAUUCCAGUGCUGGACACAUUUUUAGGUCCCUAGUGAGAGUGGGGAGCACAGAUUUGGGAAACAAACCCAUGGGAAUGCAACCUAAUGUACUGAGUGUUCGCUGCAAGUCUAGCACUUUAUAUGACUGUAUUUAGGUAGCAGUAUUCUUAUUUCUUGAAUAAUAAGUGAAGACUCAGGGUCGUAUAAUUUGCUCAUGGACUCACAGGUAGAAAUUCAGGUCUUUCUGAUGUCAGAGCUCACACCAUCCAAGAGCCAGUAGU